UGGCGGUGAGGAGAUACUACUGUGUUGAAUCAUGGUGAUAGUUUAAUACGCUAUUCUGAGCCAGCU